GGUUAAGCGACUAAGCGUACACGGUGGAUGCCCUGGCAGUCAGAGGCGAUGAAGGGCGUGCUAAUCUGCGAUAAGCGCCGGUAAGGUGAUAUGAACCGUUAUAACCGGCGAUACCCGAAUGGGGAAACCCAGUGUGAUUCGUCACACUAUCAUUAACUGAAUCCAUAGGUUAAUGAGGCGAACCGGGGGAACUGAAACAUCUAAGUACCCCGAGGAAAAGAAAUCAACCGAGAUUCCCCCAGUAGCGGCGAGCGAACGGGGAGGAGCCCAGAGCCUGAAUCAGCAUGUGUGUUAGUGGAAGCGUCUGGAAAGGCGCGCGAUACAGGGUGACAGCCCCGUACACAAAAGCGCAUGUGCUGUGAGCUCGAUGAGUAGGGCGGGACACGUGGUAUCCUGUCUGAAUAUGGGGGGACCAUCCUCCAAGGCUAAAUACUCCUGACUGACCGAUAGUGAACCAGUACCGUGAGGGAAAGGCGAAAAGAACCCCGGCGAGGGGAGUGAAAAAGAACCUGAAAUCGUGUACGUACAAGCAGUGGGAGCACAGGUUUACCUGUGUGACUGCGUACCUUUUGUAUAAUGGGUCAGCGACUUAUAUUCUGUAGCAAGGUUAACCGAAUAGGGGAGCCGGAGGGAAACCGAGUCUUAAUUGGGCGUUAAGUUGCAGGGUAUAGACCCGAAACCCGGUGAUCUAGCCAUGGGCAGGUUGAAGGUUGGGUAACACUAACUGGAGGACCGAACCGACUAAUGUUGAAAAAUUAGCGGAUGACCUGUGGCUGGGGGUGAAAGGCCAAUCAAACCGGGAGAUAGCUGGUUCUCCCCGAAAGCUAUUUAGGUAGCGCCUCGUGAAUUCAUCUCCGGGGGUAGAGCACUGUUUCGGCUAGGGGGCCAUCCCGGCUUACCAACCCGAUGCAAACUGCGAAUACCGGAGAAUGUUAUCACGGGAGACACACGGCGGGUGCUAACGUCCGUCGUGAAGAGGGAAACAACCCAGACCGCCAGCUAAGGUCCCAAAGUCAUGGUUAAGUGGGAAACGAUGUGGGAAGGCCCAGACAGCCAGGAUGUUGGCUUAGAAGCAGCCAUCAUUUAAAGAAAGCGUAAUAGCUCACUGGUCGAGUCGGCCUGCGCGGAAGAUGUAACGGGGCUAAACCAUGCACCGAAGCUGCGGCAGCGACGCUUAUGCGUUGUUGGGUAGGGGAGCGUUCUGUAAGCCUGUGAAGGUGGCCUGUGAGGGUUGCUGGAGGUAUCAGAAGUGCGAAUGCUGACAUAAGUAACGAUAAAGCGGGUGAAAAGCCCGCUCGCCGGAAGACCAAGGGUUCCUGUCCAACGUUAAUCGGGGCAGGGUGAGUCGACCCCUAAGGCGAGGCCGAAAGGCGUAGUCGAUGGGAAACGGGUUAAUAUUCCCGUACUUGGUGUUACUGCGAAGGGGGGACGGAGAAGGCUAUGUUGGCCGGGCGACGGUUGCCCCGGUUUAAGCGUGUAGGUGUGUGUUCCAGGUAAAUCCGGUUCACUUUAACACUGAGGCGUGAUGACGAGGCACUACGGUGCUGAAGUAACAAAUGCCCUGCUUCCAGGAAAAGCCUCUAAGCAUCAGGUAACAUCAAAUCGUACCCCAAACCGACACAGGUGGUCAGGUAGAGAAUACCAAGGCGCUUGAGAGAACUCGGGUGAAGGAACUAGGCAAAAUGGUGCCGUAACUUCGGGAGAAGGCACGCUGACACGUAGGUGAAGUGAUUUACUCACGGAGCUGAAGUCAGUCGAAGAUACCAGCUGGCUGCAACUGUUUAUUAAAAACACAGCACUGUGCAAACACGAAAGUGGACGUAUACGGUGUGACGCCUGCCCGGUGCCGGAAGGUUAAUUGAUGGGGUCAGCGCAAGCGAAGCUCCUGAUCGAAGCCCCGGUAAACGGCGGCCGUAACUAUAACGGUCCUAAGGUAGCGAAAUUCCUUGUCGGGUAAGUUCCGACCUGCACGAAUGGCGUAAUGAUGGCCAGGCUGUCUCCACCCGAGACUCAGUGAAAUUGAACUCGCUGUGAAGAUGCAGUGUACCCGCGGCAAGACGGAAAGACCCCGUGAACCUUUACUAUAGCUUGACACUGAACAUUGAGCCUUGAUGUGUAGGAUAGGUGGGAGGCUUUGAAGUGUGGACGCCAGUCUGCAUGGAGCCGACCUUGAAAUACCACCCUUUAAUGUUUGAUGUUCUAACGUGGACCCGUUACCCGGGUUGCGGACAGUGUCUGGUGGGUAGUUUGACUGGGGCGGUCUCCUCCUAAAGAGUAACGGAGGAGCACGAAGGUUGGCUAAUCCUGGUCGGACAUCAGGAGGUUAGUGCAAUGGCAUAAGCCAGCUUGACUGCGAGCGUGACGGCGCGAGCAGGUGCGAAAGCAGGUCAUAGUGAUCCGGUGGUUCUGAAUGGAAGGGCCAUCGCUCAACGGAUAAAAGGUACUCCGGGGAUAACAGGCUGAUACCGCCCAAGAGUUCAUAUCGACGGCGGUGUUUGGCACCUCGAUGUCGGCUCAUCACAUCCUGGGGCUGAAGUAGGUCCCAAGGGUAUGGCUGUUCGCCAUUUAAAGUGGUACGCGAGCUGGGUUUAGAACGUCGUGAGACAGUUCGGUCCCUAUCUGCCGUGGGCGCUGGAGAACUGAGGGGGCUGCUCCUAGUACGAGAGGACCGGAGUGGACGCAUCACUGGUGUUCGGGUUGUCAUGCCAAUGGCACUGCCCGGUAGCUAAAUGCGGAAGAGAUAAGUGCUGAAAGCAUCUAAGCACGAAACUUGCCCCGAGAUGAGUUCUCCCUGAGACUUAAAGUCUCCUGAAGGAACGUUGAAGACGACGACGUUGAUAGGCCGGGUGUGUAAGCGCAGCGAUGCGUUGAGCUAACCGGUACUAAUGAACCGUGAGGCUUAACCCU
rnacentral:rRNA from 1 species